rnacentral:lncRNA from 1 species
GUUAAGGUAAACAACUUUUUUUUUAUCUACAAUGUUUUGUAGUUUAAUAUUUUUUUGGAAAAAAUUAGAAUUCAAUUCUUUUUUUGUCGUCUAAGUAUUUUUUUGUAAAAAUUUAAUGUAUUAUUGCAUGUUAGGGUUGCUUAUACAAAUUCUAGUUAAUUGUUAUUAUUCGGAGUUAAUGUGUAAUUGUUUGGCAGAAUAUAGUGUUGAAAAAA